AUACGGAGGGUGCAAGCGUUAAUCGGAAUUACUGGGCGUAAAGCGCUCGUAGGCGGCUUGUUAAGUCGGAUGUGAAAGCCCCGGGCUCAACCUGGGAACUGCAUUCGAUACUGGCAAGCUAGAGUAUAGUAGAGGCAAGUGGAAUUCCGGGUGUAGCGGUGAAAUGCGUAGAUAUCCGGAGGAACAUCAGUGGCGAAGGCGACUUGCUGGACUAAUUCUGACGCUGAGGAGCGAAAGCGUGGGGAGCAAACGGGAUUAGAUACCCCAGUAGUCC
rnacentral:rRNA from 1 species